UACGUAGGGAGCAAGCGUUGUCCGGAAUCAUUGGGCGUAAAGCGCGCGUAGGUGGCCAUGUAAGUCCGCUGUGAAAACUCGAGGCUCAACCUCGAGAUGUCGGCGGAAACCAUCUGGCUAGAGUCCGGAAGAGGAGAGUGGAAUUCCUGGUGUAGCGGUGGAAUGCGCAGAUAUCAGGAGGAACACCGGUGGCGAAGGCGGGUCUCUGGGCCGAUACUGACGCUGAGGAGCGAAAGCGUGGGGAGCGAACAGG
rnacentral:rRNA from 1 species